GGGAGGGGCGGGGAGGAGGUGGAACAAACCAAAAAACAAACAACCCGCAAUUUCAACUCACCAGAGUUUGGGUCUGUGGGUUGGUUUCAGCACAUUAUAAAGGCAGUGGCCAUUUGCAGGAUCUGAGUUCACAUAUCAAAUGGUGUAAAGUCAAAGGUGUUUGGAUCAAUCUCUACUACAGAAUGUAUAAUUUCACCAGCUAAGGAUAUGCUUUCUUUAUUGUUAUCCCUACAGUAAAGGAUAAUUGUAGUGCUCAUUGAGAUGGUAUCUGAUUGUCCUACAAGAGUAAAAGAUAGUAAUAGGGAUAUCUCUAGAAGAUGAAAUUCUUCCCUCUGUCUUCCUUUAAAAUGGAUUUCAACUGAGACUAGGUGUCAAUGGUUAAUUCCAUCUGGCUGAGGUGUCAUAAGACAAAGUUGUGGGGAAGGUAUUUUAAGUAUAGCUAGAUAGGAACAAAGAGUCUGUUUUUAAAAAUCCUUUGUAAAUUAAUUUGUCUGCUUAGUCAUUUAUUUGUGACUGCCUCUUUAACUUCCAUUAGCUUCAGUGGGAGCAGGAUUGGGCUCUUACCUGGGUUAGUAUGGAUUUAAAAAAAACAAAACCUAAAUACAUUUUGCAUGGCAAACCGAUUUUAUUUUGAAAUGGAGCAUAUGUUUCAUGCAGAUGCUAGGGUUCCAAAACUAAAAAUGACUUGAAAAGUGUAAAAUGCUGUGGGGCUGCGAAUAGUAUGAGGUAGCUCUGUUGCCCUCUGGGUAGAAUGAAUGUCUUGCAAAAUUAAAAAAACAUCCUGAAGAGCCAAUUAAGGAGUGGGGCUGAUAGGCUCUGACAAGACUCGCAUUCAGUUCCCUUUAGCUGAAAGGAUGUUGGCCCUGACCUGGGAGCCUCAAGGGUGGGAUGGGGAAGUUGGAAAGUAACGUGUAUAUUGGGGGGAGGGAGAUGGAGGGGGCAAUCCUUGGAUCUCAGGAAGAUACCUAGAGGAAGUUGCCGCCUCCCCAGGAAAAAGGAAAUCUUGAGGUUCUUCUCACACUAUAAUCUCUGGUUAGUGAAGUUUGUUUAUAUCAAGACUCCACGGUCUCCCAUGGAUCUGAAUUUUAGAGGUGAUUUAAAUUGUUUUUCUGAUAGAGGAGAAGUGAAGCACAAACAUGUACAAACAUGUUCAUCUUACCUUUUACUGAGCAUUUCAAGUUGCUUGGGUAUUUCUGCUCCAUCUAGCUAGAAAAGGUAGGCCUUGCAUUUAAGAGAUAUAUACGUCUGCUUUAAAAAGUGAUACUUGAGGAAAGUAUGUUCUGAAGUUAAUUAUGAAUACUGAAAAAUGAUGCAGCACAAACACUAAUUUUCCAAGAUAACAAUAAUACUCAUACGUUACUGUUAGCUCCAGUUACUCUUUCACCACUUUUAGCCAGAAAUCUCUGCCAUAGCACUUUGGCUGAGUUGAGGUUGUAAUUCACAACAAGCACACUGGCUCCUUAACAACUGUUUUACCUGUCUCUGGCAAGAUGACAAAGAUAAUUGAUGUUGCUAGAGGAAAAUACCUAUUGCAGUUAUGUUGUGUUUUGUUAAAUAAAUUAGGCUUUUUAAAAGUUGGACA
ensembl:lncRNA